AACUAUUUAUAUGAAUGUAGGUUAUAUAAGUUGUAAAUAAUAAAAUUUUAAAAAUUAUUUUAAAAGAUUUUUUAUUUCAUAUUAAAAAGAUAUUAUCUUUUCAUUUUAAAUUGAAUUACCUAAUUUUUUUAUCUCAUAAUAAAAAAAACAUAAUUUUUUUUUAUAUAUAAAUAUAAAGUAUAUAAAUUACUAUUUUUCAAUUUCAUAUUAAAAAAAUAAUUUUAACUUGUGGAUGUCCAAGUCUUCACACCAACUGCAACCCCAGUUUUGUUUUUUUUAAGAUUUGGCCAAGAUCUCGGAUCUUAAGUCAAUCUGUCGGGCUGGGCUCGUUCCGGUAUCUAUGGUGAGAAAUAUUACUAUCUAUCUUUCGACUUAUUGAGUAUUAGAAAAUCUCAAAUUCAUUCUGGCGAGGCGAGGGAAGUAAAUUUGUCCAGGAGAAUAUACAAAGCCAUUAUAAAAGCAGUCUCGCUCUUGAUAUGGCAGAUAGCUUAAGUUAGAAUAAUAUGAUUGUAAAUCUAAAAUGAAACAAAACAAAAAAAAAAAACGUAGUAGCAAAUCAGUUCUAAAAGCUGAAUGACAACCUAAAUUAUAACAUAAUAACUCAGUAUUCCCUUUACUGAUGAGUAUAUUAGGAAGUAGGAUCAUAGAUUUCUCAAACGAAGUCUUGUGUUGUGAAGUCAGGGACAACAUGAAGUCUAGAAUGUCUCAACACCUCGGAUUUUCUGCUUCUUCAUGAGGCAGGACAUGCUUGUCUAAAUUUGUUUUGGUACCGAGUAUAAGCUCCAGUAUUAUUUAACUUGCCAUCUUAAUUAUCAGAUCUCAAAAUCAAGUCUAAUGAUUUCUCCUCUAGGUUUACCCGGCAUAAUUUGUUGCGGGUAUACCCUAAAAGUACCUGGAUGACUUCAUCUAAUUACGAUCCUUUUGUUGGAUGGAUGCACGGAGCUCAAAUGGCUGCAUUUAAUAUGCAGGUUUGUCUCCUUCUUAUGCUGACUGAAUGAGCACUGAUACUUUUAUUCUCUAUUUAUGUCACCGAUCGCUCUCUAUAGGACAUAAGACCGAACAAGACACACUCCGAUGAACUACUUCACUCGACAGAACUUAUUUCCAAAGUUAUUUAAGUUGCAAAACUGUUGUUCCAACAGACAGUACAAAUGUGCAUCUAACAAAGCAGGUCUCAAUCCAACAUCAGGAUCUUGUGAUGUGCUUAAGCAUGCAAGAAAAGUAGUUUAUGGCUUUCCUGUUCUUGUGUUGGCUCAAAGCAUUUUCUUCAUCAAAAGGGAAUAGGAAUACAAGUCCAUGACAAAAAAAGAAGAAAAAAACCCACCUAUCAUUGUUGAGGUAAAUCGAGUCCCAUAUCGAAAUCGCUAGUGCUUUGACUGAUCACUGGCGACAAUUUGGAGUAUUCUGAGUAAGUUUCAAGAACGCUUAGAAAUAUUUGGUCAUUUUGCUUUAAGAUCUAGCUCCUCUAUGUAACAGGGUAGAGUUCAAGCUGCAUAAUAAUAGCGCCCAGCUUGCUUGAAAACUAGUUUUUCUGUAGUGUAGUAUACGUGGAAAAGUCGUAUCGCUAUAAUUCAAGUCUAGGUAACUUCUUCCAAGAAGAGAACAAUGAUUAUCUAGCCACAACACUGAUAAAAAACAAACCAGAAGUGUAUGCGACUGCAGAUCCAACAACACUAUCAUCAAACUGUCUUUAAGCUAAAUUAGGUGUUUGAAUUUCUUAGCAGCUCCAGUUAUAUUGCAUGCUUUCUUCUGAUAACAUUCCAUUUUCAUGUUUGACCAACUGACUUAAGCAGGAAGAGAAUUUCGAACUGUUUGAGCUCCAUUUCAAUUGCUUGUUGGGGCAGAAUGUCAAUUUUCUGUGUUGUGGCCUUGUGGGUUUCCUUGACCCUUUCCUCUUUAUAUCCUUGUCAGGGCAAUGAGGCAAUGACAAGCACAUUUGGAUUAUGCAGGGAAUGUUUAGAGCCAACGGUGGCUGUGGUUGCGUGAAAAAACCUGGUUUUUCAUUGAGUGAACCUGAUUCUGAUCCUAGUGUGCAAUUGACUGUAGAAAAGAUUUUGAAGGUGAAAAUCUACUUUGGGGCAGGGUGGCAUUUGGAUUUUCGCUGCACACAUUUUGAUCUGUAUUCUCCACCUGACUUCUUCGCAAGAGUAAGAUAUCUAGCACUUGAGGUCUUGGCCUAGCGGUGGUAGAGACUUGUUUUCUUUCUCUGCAACCGGGUUCGAACCUCUCUAUGCACGCCUGUCACCCCCGCGGUGCCUUACAUGCUUACUGGGUUUGCAGGAUGUUCAGUGGGCCGUGAGAUUAGUCGUGGUGCGCGCAAGCUGGCCCGGACACCCACGUAAAUAAAAUAAAAAAAAAAUAAAAAAAAAAGUAAGAUGAUCUAUGUAAAUAUGUGUCAUCAGUAUAUGUGCCUGUUGGAAUUUCAAGUCACAAAUUUUGGAGCUGCUUUUCUCCUUCGGAGUUCUGUACUUGUUGUAAACUUUGACACGCCAGAAGUUUUUCCAGAUUUUUUAUGCUCAUCUUAACACAU